AUGCAGUGACGAGUCCGAAAUAGGACGAAAUGCGCAUCCUGGAU
rnacentral:hammerhead_ribozyme from 1 species